rnacentral:rRNA from 8 species
AGACCCGAAACCCGGUGAUCUAGCCAUGGGCAGGUUGAAGGUUGGGUAACACUAACUGGAGGACCGAACCGACUAAUGUUGAAAAAUUAGCGGAUGACCUGUGGCUGGGGGUGAAAGGCCAAUCAAACCGGGAGAUAGCUGGUUCUCCCCGAAAGCUAUUUAGGUAGCGCCUCGUGAAUUCAUCUCCGGGGGUAGAGCACUGUUUCGGCUAGGGGGCCAUCCCGGCUUACCAACCCGAUGCAAACUGCGAAUACCGGAGAAUGUUAUCACGGGAGACACACGGCGGGUGCUAACGUCCGUCGUGAAGAGGGAAACAACCCAGACCGCCAGCUAAGGUCCCAAAGUCAUGGUUAAGUGGGAAACGAUGUGGGAAGGCCCAGACAGCCAGGAUGUUGGCUUAGAAGCAGCCAUCAUUUAAAGAAAGCGUAAUAGCUCACUGGUCGAGUCGGCCUGCGCGGAAGAUGUAACGGGGCUAAACCAUGCACC